CCAAAGCAGUUUGCUCCCCCCGCAGCGAUACCUGUGGUGCCGUCAGCAGGGCUCUACGAGAAGGCGGGUUGCUGAAAGGAUCGAGGCUACAAACGCCUCGCGAGACUGCAUGCUGCAGUGUCAGGCUGGGAAGCAGAGACGAGCAGAGAAGAGGAGCUACGUGGGAGGCGUGAGAACUCCUCGCAUCGACACUGCCUUUGCAAUGCAGACCUGCAUCCUGAGACACAACCUCCUGUGGCCUGGGACCGGCUACCAGGAGGUGAGAAGAAUUCUGCCGCAAGCCCCCAACACCUUAAGCAAAAGGGAGAAGGUACCUGCUGGCUCCCCCGGGCUCCAGGACCACUCCUGCUCAUCUGAAGGAGGUGAAGCCUGCAGCAGAUGGAGACCAUAUCACCCCAUCUUGUCUCCUCUCUCCUCUUCCUCCCGUCUGCACUCCAGAACACACUGUGUAUCCAAAUUCAGUCUUGAGGCAAGAAGCAUUGCCGGUCAUCAGAUGUUUGUGACCACCAAUGUCGUGAAAGAUGCUGUGUCCAGAGCUGAGCUGAGAAAAAGACAUGUGAACUUUCCUUAUGUCAUACAAGACAGCUCGGGUUGGUUUAAAUUAUCCUGGAAAGCCACAGACUUUGCGCUGGAGCAAAGGAGAAGACUUCCCCUGAUCUGCUCCACCAGUGUGGCUGCAGGAGCGAGGAAAACCUCCGAGCAGCGCAGCCAUUUCUGCUGUGAGUCUCUUAUCGUGGCAUUAAUGUGAGUUUGGAAGUGGAGAUCCGGCUUGGCUGGAAAGGAUCGCAGCUUCAAAGGCAGCGGUCAGGAAGAACUGACUGAAGAAAAUCCAGCUGCCUACCCACUCAGAUUUACCCAAGUAAUUACAUUAUCAGCUAGGCAUGCCUGUGUACCUAGUUUUCAUAUGAUUAUCCGAAGACAGAUAAAAGGCAGAAUUCGUCAUACAAGUUCUGAUAGUGCUUAAAAGAGUCAGAGACUGAUUAUAGCAACUUCAUACAUUUUAUGGGCAUAUAAUAAGAACAUCUGCAAUUACUUCUAGUGCUGGAAUAUUCUUUAAAAUAUUCAUGUGGUCUCACAUAGCUAUGACCAUGUGUGUAUGGUAGUGUGGGUGCCUGUAUUUGUGUAUAUGGAAGCAUGAAACCAAGACAAUAUUGUAGAGUAUUAUGUGCUUUAAAAACACGUUUGCAUAGUCCUCCUUUUUAAUUUAUAGAAGUACAAUGUUGCUUGUUUAACAUUCAAUAAGGAACAGAAAACCUUGGGAGAAAAUGUUAUAUAAUAAAUGUACUGGCAUGUUUUAUACUUUAUAAGCU
rnacentral:lncRNA from 1 species